ACUCUUCUUACAAGACAAGCAAAAUGACGCUUGUAAAUUCUCGGUUCCUGCAAGGAUGACACCACAAACCGUGGACAGUACUGUAGGACUGCUAAAUAGCCCUCGGAAGGGAGAACACCUAAAAGUGCCUGUUUCCUUACAGAUGUUCUGGUGGCUUACGUGCUUGGAUGACCUUGCUGAGGCUGAACAAGAGUACAAAACCUGUGAGUUAAAUGGGUGGAACAAAACUACAGCUGCUGCACCUUACCGGGCCGAGAGUCGUGACCUGAUCUUCCAUCUUUUACACAAAACGAGUCAGAUCUUCAGCUUGCUGCCACGAGUAACUCACACAUUCUCCAAUUCCUCGUAUGGAAAGAAGGCUUUCUUCUAAGGGAUUAUUCCAAUGCGUAAAAUCGGUGAAUUCACCUGUACAGUAAUGAAAUACUUUCAAUAAUUUCAUGCAAAACUUUCUUUAAGCAGUGCCUUGGGCCAAUCUUUCCAUGUGAGAGCUGCAUGAGUAAAAGUUCUCCUUUCGGUCCAUUUCUGACUUAUUUUUUAUAAUUUAGUUUAAAAGUUCAAGUCAUCCAACCAAAGCUGUGACAACAGGAAUAACAGGCUCGUGGUAUAACAGCAGUAGGAUUUAGGCACCUGUGGAGGGAGAAACACUGAAGAUUUCACCGUGGGUUCAGGGUGGGCCAAACAUUAAAAUCCCUUUCUUGGUUUAAGAUCAGAAUGCACCUUUGUGGGAUUCAUUUCUUCCUUACAUCUCAGUAACCAAGUAUGCAUUGAGUGACCUACACCUUUAAGGGGGAAAAUGGUCUCAGUCAAGCGCUGGAUGAAUAUAAAUAGUAAUAAUAAAAGCCUAUCAGUAAGGAAAAGCUGAGCAUUCUUUUUGAAUGCAAACAUAAUAAUUAAUAAUAAUCAUAAUCAUAAUCUGUGGCACAGGACCCAAAGAGACCUUUUCCUCACAGUUUCACACAGCAGUUCUCUCAUCAGCUCUGAAACCAUCUACCUCUGCAACUCAGAAAGCUUUCUUUUUUUCUUUUCCUGAAAGUUCAAGGAUACGUUAUCCAUUUUCUGGGCAAGUUUAGAACUUUGGGUCUCACUUCUGCAUACACGGAUUCUUCUCUAAAGUCACUAAGACAGAACAAAACCCG
rnacentral:lncRNA from 7 species